rnacentral:rRNA from 1 species
GAUGAACGCUGGCGGCGUGCUUAACACAUGCAAGUCGAACGGAAAGGCUCCUGCUUGCCGGGGUACUCGAGUGGCGAACGGGUGAGUAACACGUGGGUGAUCUGCCCUGCACUUCGGGAUAAGCCUGGGAAACUGGGUCUAAUACCGGAUAGGACGAUGUUUUGGAUGCCAUUGUGGAAAGUUUUUCGGUGUUGGAUGGGCUCGCGGCCUAUCAGCUUGUUGGUGGGGUAAUGGCCUACCAAGGCGCCGACGGGUAGACGGCCUGAGAGGGUGUACGGCGACAUUGGGACUGAGAUACGGCCCAGACUCCUACGGGAGGCAGCAGUGGGGAAUAUUGCACAAUGGGCGCGAGCCUGAUGCAGCGACGCCGCGUGGGGGAUGACGGCCUUCGGGUUGUAAACACCUGUCGCUAGAGACGAAGCGCAAGUGACGGUACCUGGAGAAGAAGCACCGGCUAACUACGUG